rnacentral:rRNA from 1 species
AAUACCGCAUAACGUCGCAAGACCAAAGUGGGGGACCUUCGGGCCUCAUGCCAUCAGAUGUGCCCAGAUGGGAUUAGCUAGUAGGUGGGGUAACGGCUCACCUAGGCGACGAUCCCUAGCUGGUCUGAGAGGAUGACCAGCCACACUGGAACUGAGACACGGUCCAGACUCCUACGGGAGGCAGCAGUGGGGAAUAUUGCACAAUGGGCGCAAGCCUGAUGCAGCCAUGCCGCGUGUGUGAAGAAGGCCUUCGGGUUGUAAAGCA